rnacentral:rRNA from 1 species
AGUGAACGCUGGCGGUAGGCCUAACACAUGCAAGUCGAUCGGCAGCACAGGAGAGCUUGCUCUCUGGGUGGCGAGUGGCGGACGGGUGAGGAAUACAUCGGAAUCUACCCUUUCGUGGGGGAUAACGUAGGGAAACUUACGCUAAUACCGCAUACGACCUACGGGUGAAAGUGGGGGACCGCAAGGCCUCACGCGAUUAGAUGAGCCGAUGUCCGAUUAGCUAGUUGGCGGGGUAAUGGCCCACCAAGGCGACGAUCGGUAGCUGGUCUGAGAGGAUGAUCAGCCACACUGGAACUGAGACACGGUCCAGACUCCUACGGGAGGCGGCAGUGGGGAAUAUUGGACAAUGGGCGCAAGCCUGAUCUAGCCAUACCGCGUGGGUGAAGAAGGCCUUCGGGUUGUAAAGCCCUUUUGUUGGGAAAGAAAUCCUGUCGAUUAAUACUCGGUGGGGAUGACGGUACCCAAAGAAUAAGCACCGGCUAACUUCGUGCCAGCAGCCGCCGUAAAAC